GCCGCCGCCUCCGACUGUGCAGCUUCCGACUGUGCAGGGCGGGGCGAACACUUGGCUUUCGGGAUCCCCGGGUCCGGCCCGGGCGCCUGGACCGGGCCCACCCCCCGGGCAGCGGGGCACGGCCGGAGCGACGGGCCGCACGUGGGGGUCCUGCGGGCCGCGGGGAGGACGCAUCUCCCGGGAGGCGACCAGGGUCGCCGGGUCCCGACGAGACGGAGGCUCGCGGCGGCGGCGGCGGCUCGGCCCCGAGCGCACUCCCGCACUCCGGGAGCUCCUCGGAGGAAGGGGCUCUCGGCCUCUCGUCUCAUUAGCCGUGGCCCGAAGUCCAACCCCAAACUCCUGCGUGACUUUCCGCAAUUUACAGAAAGGACGCCAAACCGUGACUCAGUGGUAAAAUGUUAUGCGUGUCUAACCGCAGUAAACAUAAAGGAAGCCCCGCAGCAAAGGUGAAGAAUGGGUCAGGCGGCGUUCUAAGGAGUUUCUUUCCCGCUGCUCGAGAGUACCCUGGGCUUCGUGCUGUCCUCCUCGCAGCGGGGCAGCGGGGGCAGCGGGGGCAGCGGGGGCCCGGGGACCCGCGGCGGCGCCCCUGGACGGAGCAGCGGAGCGGGUCUGCACCUCCGCCGCGCUCCCGGGAGACCGACGGGCCCCGGGGACCCUCACUCCCGGAGCUCCCGUCCCGGGAAAACCGUCCGUGCAGCCUCAUUCAACCUCUUUUCGCUGCGAGGUUCAACGGUGGCGUCCAGCACCCGGCCUUUCCCAGCUUCAGAGACGGGCCGUGCUUCGUGAGUCCAACAAACCCCGAACCGGAACCUCCAUCCAAGUCCACACUGGUCCGUUCCUGCUACAUAUCCGGAAAUGCCCAGCUAUGGCUAAUGGAGUUACCGCUCCAAGGUCUCCAAAACGCCAAAGUCUAGUUAUUUUAAGAGAAUUGUCCCUGGGGUAAGUAAAGGGAGUUUAUCCCUUCACGGGUUCAGUAAAUACUCAUCAAAUGCCUGCCCUGUGCUGGGUGUUCUUCUAAGUGCUGGAGAUACAUCAAUGAACCAAAUAAAAACUGGAUGGACACUAAAACCCAUAGCUCAGUAUAUCAAUAAUGAAUAACUACACAAAUCACCGAGUACAGUUGUGAGCAGCGACACAAGUUGCUGGGAAGAAGAGAUCGUGUUAAAUUGGAGAAUCUUAAUAAAAAUCCAAGACACCUAAUCCAGAAAUUUACCACUUUUGUGGAAAGCAAGAAUCCUUUCUCGGCUGCCCGCAGCUCACCAAGGCACUAUUUAGCACCAAAACCCAACUUCAUCUCCCACUGGUUUUCAUUGUUUUCUUGCAUCCAAGGAAAUCUCAUAAAAGAAUUCUGGACAUCAGUCACUAAGAGGGGGGUCACAAGAACUCCCCUGUUCUCAACAAUGAAAAAAACAUCUCUUUUUACCACCCAAAAACUGAAGUGACCCACUCACAGCAGUCGGUUCUGCCUCAUGGGAGCACUGGCAGCCCAGGCUCGUUAAUGAGACCACUAAGAGGGACAUAGAGGCAGAGAGAGAGGACCUGGAACAACUCGGUCCCCUUCUGUUUACCUUCGGCCUGUUUCACAAGUGACCUGCCCGAGCAGAGGGAAGGAAAAGGGCACAGCAGCUGGCACUCGGUCCCGAAACUCGCUUCCAGCCAAGUGAGAAUUCCCUGCUGCCAGACAGCAGACACAGUUCUAGACUCUGGAGAUACCACAGUCCACAAAACAAAGACGCUGCCUUCAUGAAGUUUAUGUCCUAGUGGGGGAGCGAGACAGCAAACGAAGGAGGUCCCUUAGCCUACAAAUGGAUUCGGUCCUCUCCUCAUUCCCCUCCAGCUGGCAGUAAUGCAGAAGAGAGACAUGAGGCAGAAGGUGGAGUUUCAAGCCUCCUUGUGUGCAUCCAUGCUUCCCCUUGGCCUUGAAUACCUCCCCCGUCCCCUGAAUGGUGAGCUGCUGCUCAUCUCUGCAGUGCCUGCCUAAAUGCCAUUCUUGGAAGUCAAGUUUGAUGUUUCUCUAACAGAAUCAAUCAAUAUCUCACCUAUAGCCCAUAGUAAUAUUUUAAUUAACUCUAUUAAUAAAUUCAAUUAUUAUGGCACUUACGAUAUGAUACAAGGGGAAAAAAUCGGUCUCCAACUAGACCCUAUGGCAAAAAAAAAAAAAAAAAAAGCAAAAAAAACAACCCUAUGCGUUACUCAUCUAUUUGUGUACCUUCAGCCCUAACAUUAUGCCUGGAGCAUGGAGG